rnacentral:lncRNA from 1 species
GCAUUUCCAUGAUCAUGGGGCAUUGUGUAAAACAAGAAAAAAAACUCAUGCAUCAACAUUGCAAACAUAUCCAUUAGCCCUAGGCCGUGGUGACCAGCCGAGAUUGGGUUGUUGGAAAGAGUUUAGCAUCGCGCCAUUGGAUCGGCUUCAGAAUUGGGUUCAUCAGCAUGGUUGAGAGGUUGGUGCUUUCCCAACAAGUGACUCCUUAGUUGAG